GACGGAGGAUGCAAGUGUUAUCCGGAAUCACUGGGCGUAAAGCGUCUGUAGGUGGUUCGAAAAGUCCACUGUUAAAAAUUGAGGCUUAACUUCAAAGAUGCCGUGGAAACUUCCAAACUAGAGUAUGGUAGGGGUAGAGGGAAUUCCAGUGGAGCGUGAAAUGUGUAGAUAUUGGAAAGACCACCGAUGGCGAAGGCAACUCCUACUGGGGCCAUGACUGGACACUUGAGAGACGAAAGCUAGGGGAGCAAAUGGG
rnacentral:rRNA from 1 species